GACGAACGCUGGCGGCGUGCUUAACACAUGCAAGUCGAACGCUGAAGACCUGGCUUUUGUUGGGUUGGAUGAGUGGCGAACGGGUGAGUAACACGUGAGUAACCUGCCCUCUUCUUUGGGAUAACGCCCGGAAACGGGUGCUAAUACUGGAUAUUCACUGGCCUUCGCAUGGGGGUUGGUGGGAAGGUUUGUUCUGGUGGGGGAUGGGCUCGCGGCCUAUCAGCUUGUUGGUGGGGUGAUGGCCUACCAAGGCUUUGACGGGUAGCCGGCCUGAGAGGGUGACCGGUCACAUUGGGACUGAGAUACGGCCCAGACUCCUACGGGAGGCAGCAGUGGGGAAUAGUGCACAAUGGGCGAAAGCCUGAUGCAGCGACGCCGCGUGAGGGAUGGAGGCCUUCGGGUUGUAAACCUCUUUCGCUCAUGGUCAAGCCGCAACUGUGGGUUGUGGUGAGGGUAGUGGGUAAAGAAGCGCCGGCUAACUACGUG
rnacentral:rRNA from 1 species